GAAGGAUCUGCAGACAGUGGUCCCCCUGGUGCAGGUAAUAGUAGUAAUUGUAUGUUUGGUCCCUGUGGUGCAGGAGCUGCAGACAGUGGUCCCCCUGGUGGAGGUGCAGUCUACCCGCACCCAGAGACCCUCGGCCGGGACCAGCUACCCCUACGUAGACCUCACUCUGGGAGAUCUGACCACUCACAGAGUCACGCAGAUACAGCUCAAACAGGGAUUGGAGCUGUGUCGGGUCAUUGCCAUGCACGUGGAGAACAUGCUGUCAGUCAGAGAGAAGAGAUUCACCCUGCCACCCAGCGAGGUCACUGUGUUAUAAGACACUGUCUGUCUCUCAGGGAGAAGAGACUCACCCUGCCACCCAGGGAGGUCACUGUGUUAUAAGACACUGUCUGUCUCUCAGGGAGAAGAGACUCACCCUGCCACCCAGCGAGGUCACUGUGUUAUAAGACACUGUCUGUCUCUCAGGGAGAAGAGACUCACUCUGCCACCCAGCGAGGUCACUGUGUUAUAAGACACUGUCUGUCUCUCAGGGAGAAGAGACUCACCCUGCCACCCAGCGAGGUCACUGUGUUAUAAGACACUGUCUGUCUCUCAGGGAGAAGAGACUCACCCUGCCACCCAGCGAGGUCACUGUGUUAUAAGACACUGUCUGUCUCUCAGGGAGAAAAGAAUCACCCUGCCACCCAGAGAGGUCACUGUGUUAUAAGACACGGUCUGUCUGUCUGUCUCUCAGGGAGAAGAGACUCACCCUGCCACCCAGCGAGGUCACUGUGUUAUAAGACACUGUCUGUCUCUCAGGGAGAAGAGACUCACCCUGCCACCCAGGGAGGUCACUGUGUUAUAUGACACUGUCUGUCUGUCUGUCUCUCAGGGAGAAGAGACUCACCCUGCCACCCAGAGAGAUCACUGUGAUAUAAGACACUGUCUGUCUGUCUGUCUCUCAGGGAGAAGAGACUCACCCUGCCACCCAGCGAGGUCACUGUGUUAUAAGACACUGUCUGUCUGUCUGUCUCUCAGGGAGAAGAGACUCACCCUGCCACCCAGAGAGGUCACUGUGUUAUAAGACACUGUCUGUCUCUCAGGGAGAAGAGACUCACCCUGCCACCCAGGGAGGUCACUGUGUUAUAAGACACUGUCUGUCUGUCUCUCAGGGAGAAGAGAUUCACCCUGCCACCCAGAGAGGUCACUGUGUUAUAAGACACUGUCUGUCUGUCUGUCUCUCAGGGAGAAGAGACUCACCCUGCCACCCAGAGAGGUCACUGUGUUAUAAGACACUGUCUGUCUGUCUGUCUCUCAGGGAGAAGAGACUCACCCUGCCACCCAGCGAGGUCACUGUGUUAUAAGACACUGUCUGUCUCUCAGGGAGAAGAGACUCACCCUGCCACCCAGAGAGGUCACUGUGAUAUAAGACACUGUCUGUCUCUCAGGGAGAAGAGACUCACCCUGCCACCCAGCGAGGUCACUGUGUUAUAAGACACUGUCUGUCUGUCUGUCUCUCAGGGAGAAGAGACUCACCCUGCCACCCAGGGAGGUCACUGUAAAACCAUAAAACAAGUGACAUGUUUACAACCUUAACGUCAGUGUUUAAAACAUUAAAACCUGUGUAAAACAUUUAGAUUUGCCAAAAAGAGUCGUUUUUUAACAGGAAAC
ensembl:lncRNA